UUCGUUUUGGUGCCGCACAGAGGAUCAGCUCCGCCUCCAGGCGGCCCCGUAAAUUCUACUGUCAAACAGCGGAUCCUGAGUGGACCCAUGUCGGAUCCGCGGGCGCGGACGCGCAUUUACUGUAACGGUUGAACAUGACUGUACACCAAGAGCCAAGAAGAGUCAUACUAGUGGAUAUUUUCUUUGCUGGGACACGGUUGCGCUGAACCCUCUCGACGUCAACUUUUAUCGGCUGGAUUCUAGCAUCUAACGUUACGAUUGCCUCUGUUGGGUUUGCUUGAUCAACCAUCGUUUCGGGGACUCUGAUGACAGUGAAGAGCCAGAAAAUGGUGACUUUGCAUCUCUGAGGUACCUUCCAAGGCAAUUGCACUGGCAAACUCCACCAUCUCGCCGAGGAGUGCCAGGCAGCAAGUCACUACCCCUCAACCUGGAGAAAUCUGUUAAGCACCUCACCAUGGGGCAGGACCGAACACUCUUCA